AUUGAACGCUGGCGGCAUGCUUUACACAUGCAAGUCGAACGGCAGCACGGGUGCUUGCACCUGGUGGCGAGUGGCGGACGGGUGAGUAAUACAUCGGAACGUAUCCAGAAGAGGGGGAUAACGCAUCGAAAGAUGUGCUAAUACCGCAUAUUCUCUGAGGAGGAAAGCAGGGGAUCGAAAGACCUUGCGCUUUGGGAGCGGCCGAUGUCUGAUUAGCUAGUUGGUGGGGUAAAGGCCUACCAAGGCGACGAUCAGUAGUUGGUCUGAGAGGACGACCAGCCACACUGGGACUGAGACACGGCCCAGACUCCUACGGGAGGCAGCAGUGGGGAAUUUUGGACAAUGGGCGCAAGCCUGAUCCAGCAAUGCCGCGUGAGUG
rnacentral:rRNA from 1 species